UUGGUGCCGAUUUUAUGCGAAAGCAUGAAUGAAGUUAAAAGGGAAUCAGGUGAGAGUCCUGAGCAGUCCCGCUGCUGUAUGCCCUGUUGUGACAUGCGCCUGCAGGCCACUGGUUAUCAGAAACGAAAUAAUCGGGAAGGCGCGCAUGUCGGGGUAAGCCAGAAGACCUGCCUAUGCCG
rnacentral:ncRNA from 1 species